rnacentral:rRNA from 1 species
GACGAACGCUGGCGGCGUGCUUAACACAUGCAAGUCGAACGGAAAGGCCCUGCUUUUGUGGGGUGCUCGAGUGGCGAACGGGUGAGUAACACGUGAGUAACCUGCCCUUGACUUUGGGAUAACUUCAGGAAACUGGGGCUAAUACCGGAUAGGAGCUCCUGCUGCAUGGUGGGGGUUGGAAAGUUUCGGCGGUUGGGGAUGGACUCGCGGCUUAUCAGCUUGUUGGUGGGGUAGUGGCUUACCAAGGCUUUGACGGGUAGCCGGCCUGAGAGGGUGACCGGCCACAUUGGGACUGAGAUACGGCCCAGACUGCUACGGGAGGCAGCAGUGGGGAGUAUUGCACAAUGGGCGGAAGCGUGAUGCAGCAACGCCGCGUGCGGGAUGACGGCCUUCGGGUUGUAAACCGCUUUCGCCUGUGACGAAGCGUGAGUGACGGUAAUGGGUAAAGAAGCACCGGCUAACUACGUG